CGUUGUCACCUUGUUGUUGGUGGAUUGCCAGUCUCCGUCAACUCCUAUUGUGGAGUAUCUAUGCUCCUUUGUCUGAUCUGUUUGAGUUCUUUUUCUUCACACAAGAUAUGUCACUUAUCCAAGGUUGGCCAUGUUCUUCUGUGUUCUGAAUCUCCUGUUGCAACUUAUCUUGAACUUCAUGCUCUUUGUCAUGUGAAGGGUGUUGUAGUGCAAGGAAAGGAAGAAGGAAAUCAUGUGGAGUUCACAGUUCUCCCAAAGGUUUGUCAUGAACCAACCUGGACAUGUAGCUGACCUCCAACACUUCUCGCGGAAUCUGAUGCAGCUCCCUCUUAUUUUUGGUGAUAACUUUUGUGUGCUAACAUUGCUUAGCCUACCUGAUUUAAUAGCUGUAAUUUGCCUAUUUUUAGAACGAACACUUUCGUAAAUAUGUAAGCUGCUUAGAAUCUGCCUCCUAGAUGUUUUAUCUCUACUGCAAAACUUGUACAUGUAGCUUGAUCUUUCUAGUUUUUAAUCUUAGUGAUGGUAUUUAUGCUU